AGCUGCCUAUUUAUGGAUUUAAUAAUUUUUGAGACUUCUUGCUUCAGCAACCACCGUAGACUUAAUUCAUUAAUU